CUCCCAGUGGCUGUUCGGCAGGCUGCAUUGUUGGAAUAGUAUUUGGGUGUAUUGCACUUGCUCUAGUUGUGUUUGCUGGAGUGUUUUUCUUCCUCAGGAAAAAUAGAAAGCUGGGGGAAAAGUCAAACUCUCGAACAGAUGGUGGAGGUCAGGACAACUCUGCAUAUGCACAAAAUCAGGAGGUGAAUUAUGCCGACAUCAAGUUUGUCAGAAAGGAUGGUGGCGCGGUGCAUCUAUCUCCACCGAAUCAGACAGAAUAUGCAGAGGUGCAAAAAAGAAACGAUCAACCAGCUUCCAGACUGCCGACCUACAACGACCACGUGAAGAGAGUGAGAAGACCCCCUCCUAUGCCCCCGACCACAGGCACAGAGUACGCUGAGAUACGCAGGAAAUGACAUCACCUCAGAGUUUUUCUUUUGUCAACAGACUCAGUGAUGUUUAUAGCAACGGCGAUUGGACUUGAGUUUGUAGCUGGUUAAUAAUUGUCAGACAAAUGAGACAAGAGGUGGCUUUCAUUUUCCCAUGCAUUAUAAAACCAGAUGUACUGUCUGUAAAUAGACCUUUAUAUAAGGCUAUGGAAUUAUGCAAAUUAGAGUCAGGCAGCAUUUUACUUGAGUUGGUUUGAAUUUUAACACUCCUUAGAUAGAAUAUUGUUGUGUUU
ensembl:lncRNA